rnacentral:rRNA from 1 species
UACAGAGGGGGCAAGCGUUGUUCGGAAUUACUGGGCGUAAAGGGCGCGUAGGCGGCCGCCUAAGUCAGACGUGAAAUCCCUCGGCUCAACCGGGGAACUGCGUCCGAUACUGGUGGGCUCGAAUCCGGGAGAGGGAUGUGGAAUCCAGGUGUAGCGGUGAAAUGCGUAGAGUAUCAGGAGGAACACCGAUGGCGAAGGCAGGUCUCUGGGCCACUACUGACGCUGAGAAGCGAAAGCGUGGGGAGCGAACAGG